rnacentral:snRNA from 1 species
AGACCAUUGUCCAAUGGUCAG